rnacentral:misc_RNA from 1 species
CUCAGUUUUCAAUAUGUACACCAAGUCUCUCAUUCUGGCCAAGCAAAACUAUAUAACAAAAGAUUUCUUGGAUUACAAAAAUAUGAUGACAUAGUUAAGCAAGGUGAAUCCUGUUUAGACCUUUCAAGCAAAGGCACAAUAGCUUAUUUGGAGAGGCCAAUCAUUCUCAAUGCUUCAGUUAGAAGAUAAAAUGACAUGAAAAAAAAUUAUCCUCCAAAAAUAUGAAACCUGUGCACAAAUUUAGCCAACAAAAAAUAAAAGAGCAAUUGCAAGUCCAAAUUUAUUCUUUCUAUAACAUUAGGGAUUGGAGAUAGAUUAUAUUGCACAUUUGAACAAGGGAUGGACUCAACUAUCUUGCUGACUGAUUCUGUUGG